rnacentral:tRNA from 1 species
UGAAUUUUAAGUUAAAAAAACUAGAAAUCUUCCAAGUUUCCAUUAAGGUAUCUUAAAUUCAA